rnacentral:rRNA from 1 species
UCAAGCGAUGAAAGUGCAUUUAGUGGAUGCCUUGGCAUCAAGAGGCGAUGAAGGACGUGAUACACUGCGAUAAGCCCUGGGGAGUUGUGAAUAAACUUUGAUCCGGGGAUUUCCGAAUGGGGAAACCCGCCGUUUUAACGGCAUUUUAUAUUGAAUACAUAGAUAUAAAAAGCAAACCUGGCGAACUGAAACAUCUAAGUAGCCAGAGGAAAGGAUAUCAACCGAAACUCCGUUAGUAGUGGCGAGCGAAAGCGGAUCAGGCCAGUUGCUUGUUAGGUAAAACCAGAAAUGUUUGGGAAAGCAUGCUAUAAAAAGUGAAAGCCUUGUAUGGGUAAAGUGCCUAAUAAGUACUCGAGUAAGACGAGACACGUGAAAUCUUGUUUGAACAUGGGGGGACCACCCUCCAAGCCUAAGUACUCCUUGAUGACCGAUAGUGAACUAGUACCGUGAGGGAAAGGUUAAAAGUACCCCUGUUAGGGGAGUGAAAUAGUACCUGAAACUGGAUGCAUACAAGCAGUCGGAGCCAUUUUAUAUGGUGACGGCGUACCUUUUGUAUAAUGGGUCAGCGAGUUACUCUAUGUAGCAAGCUUAAGCUGUUAAGUGUAGGCGAAGCGAAAGCGAGUCUUAAUAGGGCGAUUUAGUUACAUGGAGUAGACCCGAAACCGGGUGAUCUAGCUAUGAGCAGGUUGAAGGUGUGGUAACACACACUGGAGGACCGAACCCACGUCUGUUGAAAAAGACGGGGAUGACUUGUGGCUAGGGGUGAAAGGCCAAUCAAACCCGGAGAUAGCUGGUUCUCCGCGAAAACUAUUUAGGUAGUGCGUUACGUAUCACCAACGGGGGUAGAGCACUGGAUGGGCUAGGGGGGAGCUAAUCCUUACCAAACCUUACCAAACUCCGAAUACCGUUGAGUGCAGCGUAGCAGACAGACAUUGGGUGCUAAGGUCCAAUGUCGAGAGGGAAAGAGCCCAGACCGCCAGUUAAGGUCCCAAAAUAAUGACUAAGUGGAAAAGGAUGUGAAGUAACCAAAACAACCAGGAGGUUGGCUUAGAAGCAGCCACCCUUUAAAGAUAGCGUAACAGCUCACUGGUCUAAUAGUUANNUUGCGCCGAAGAUGUAACGGGGCUAAAGUCAUUUACCGAAACUGCGGGUGCAUAUUUAUAUGCGCGGUAGCGGAGCGUUCCGUAAGCCGAUGAAGAGUGUUUGUGAGAACAUUUGGAGGUAUCGGAAGUGAGAAUGCUGACACGAGUAGCGACAAACAGUGUGAGAGACACUGUCGCCGAAAAUCUAAGGUUUCCUGCGUAAAGCUAAUCUGCGCAGGGUUAGUCGGCCCCUAAGACGAGGGCGAAAGCCGUAGUCGAUGGGAAUCAGGUUAAUAUUCCUGAACCUGCUAGAAGUGACGAAUACUGUAAAUUGUUUAAUCUUAUUGGAUUGAUUGAGCAAUGAAGGUGUUCCUGGAAAUAACUCUAGCUUAUAGACCGUACCCUAAACCAACACAGGUAGAUUGGUAGAGUAUACCUAGGCGCUUGAGAGAACGAUGAUGAAGGAACUCGGCAAAUUACCCUCGUAACUUCGGGAGAAGAGGGCCCUAUUUNUGGGCAACCANAAAUAGGGGGCACAAACCAGGGGGUGGCGACUGUUUACUAAAAACACAGGGCUCUGCAAACUCGUAAGAGGAAGUAUAGGGUCUGACGCCUGCCCGGUGCCGGAAGGUUAAGAGGAGGAGUGCAAGCUCUGAAUUGAAGCCCCGGUAAACGGCGGCCGUAACUAUAACGGUCCUAAGGUAGCGAAAUUCCUUGUCGGGUAAGUUCCGACCCGCACGAAUGGCGUAACGACUUCCCCACUGUCUCCAUCAUCGACUCAGCGAAACUGAAUUCUCCGUGAAGAUGCGGAGUACGCGUGGUCAGACGGAAAGACCCCGUGCACCUUUACUACAACUUUGCAGUGAUAUUAGAGAUUAAAUGUGUAGGAUAGGCGGGAGCCUUUGAAGUNUUAGCGCCAGCUAGNAUGGAGGCAACCUUGAAAUACCGCCCUUUUNNUNUUUGAUAUCUAACCGAGGUCCGUUAUCCGGAUCCGNGACCCUGCAUGGUGGGUAGUUUGACUGGGGCGGUCGCCUCCCAAAGAGUAACGGAGGCGCGCGAAGGUGGGCUCAAGCUGGUCGGAAAUCAGCUGUUGAGUGCAAUGGCAUAAGCCUGCCUGACUG